rnacentral:misc_RNA from 1 species
AAUUCUCAACUUCAAAGACUUUGUUGUCUUUUGAAGCUUGGACUGUGGAGGCUUUGCCGGCGUCAUUGUCAGCUCCUCUUGAAUGCAUUAGCAGAACUUUUUAAAGACUAAGCUUUGGUUUGAUAAUAUAUCUAUGCCGUCGCUGUGGCUUUGUGUUCAGCUCAUAAUUGUCUUCGGACCGUCUCUUUGGAGGCAUGAAUACAUAA